rnacentral:rRNA from 1 species
UACGUAGGGUGCAAGCGUUAUCCGGAAUUAUUGGGCGUAAAGUGCGCGCAGGCGGUUCUUUAAGUCUGAUGUGAAAGCCCACGGCUCAACCGUGGAGGGUCAUUGGAAACUGGAGAACUUGAGUACAGAAGAGGAAAGCGGAAUUCCACGUGUAGCGGUGAAAUGCGUAGAGAUGUGGAGGAACACCAGUGGCGAAGGCGGCUUCUGGUCUGUAACUGACGCUGAGGCGCGAAAGCGUGGGGAGCAAACAGG